rnacentral:RNase_P_RNA from 1 species
UAAGUAGGUCGUCUUAUCGCUUCAAUUUUAUUGAAGAGGAAAGUCCGGACACCACAGAGUAGCAUAGCGGAUAACAUCCGUCCAGCGUGAGCUGAGGACAAGUGCAACAGAAAGCAAGUACAGUUAGGCUGUAGUGAAACCAGGUAAACUCUAUGCGGUGCAAUGCCAUGUAUAUUGAAAUUUUAGAGCUACUCGUUCUAUUUCAAGGGGUAGGCAGAUUGAGCAAUAAAGUAAUUUAUUGUCUAGAUAAAUGAUAAGAACUUAUUAAAAGUACAAAAUUCGGCUUAUAGACCUACUUAGUUU